CCCGGUGUAGCGGUGAAAAUGCGUAGAUAUCGGGAAGAACACCAGUGGCGAAGGCGGCUGCCUGGCCUGGCCCUGACGCUGGAGCGCGAAAGCGUGGGGAGCGAACGGGAUUAGAUACCCCGGUAGUCCACGCCGUAAACGAUGGGCACUAGGUGUGGGAGGUAUCGACCCCUUCCGUGCCGGAGCUAACGCACUAAGUGCCCCGCCUGGGGAGUACGGCCGCAAGGCUGAAACUCAAAGGAAUUGACGGGGGCCCGCACAAGCAGUGGAGCAUGUGGUUUAAUUCGACGCAACGCGAAGAACCUUACCAGGGCUUGACAUGCGCCGGAAGGUCUCGGAAACGGGGCUGCCCUUCGGGGCCGGCGCACAGGUGCUGCAUGGUUGUCGUCAGCUCGUGUCGUGAGAUGUUGGGUUAAGUCCCGCAACGAGCGCAACCCCUGUCCCGUGUUACCAGCGUAAAGCCGGGGACUCACGGGAGACUGCCGGUGACAAACCGGAGGAAGGUGGGGAUGACGUCAAAUCAUCAUGGCCCUGAUGCCCUGGGCUACACACGUGCUACAAUGGCCGGUACAAAGGGUUGCGAACCCGUGAGGGGGAGCCAAUCCCAAAAAGCCGGUCCCAGUUCGGAUCGGAGGCUGCAACCCGCCUCCGUGAAGUCGGAAUUGCUAGUAAUCGCGGAUCAGAACGCCGCGGUGAAUACGUUCCCGGGCCUUGUACACACCGCCCGUCACACCACGAAAGUCGGCAACACCCGAAGCCGGUGACCGAACCCGGAAGGGACGGAGCCGUCGAAGGUGGGGCCGAUGAUUGGGGUGAAGUCGUAACAAGGUAGCC
rnacentral:rRNA from 1 species